CCUACGGGGGGCUGCAGUGAGGAAUAUUUGUCAAUGGGCGCGAGCCUGAUCCAGCCACGCAGCGUGAAGGAUGACUGCCCUACGGGUUGUAAACUUCUUUUAUAAAGGAAUAAAUUGAGGCACGAGUGCCUUUUUGUAUGUACUUUAUGAAUACGGAUCGGCUAACUCCGGGCCAGCAGCCGCGGUAAUCCGGAGGCGCCGAGCGUUAUCCGGAUUUAUUGGGUUUAAAGGGCGUGUAGGCCGGGCUUUAAGCGUGCCGUGAAAGUUUGUGGCUCAACCAGUAGAGUGCGGCGCGAACUGGUGACGUUGAGUGCGCGGAAGGCAGGCGGAAUUCGUGGUGUAGCGGUGAAAUGCUUAGAUAUCGCGAAGAACCCCGAUUGCGAAGGCAGGCUGCCGCAGCGUUACUGACGCUGAAGCUCGAAGGCGCGGGGAUCGAACGGGAUUAGAUACCCGGGUAGUC
rnacentral:rRNA from 1 species